rnacentral:rRNA from 1 species
CCUACGGGAGGCAGCAGUAGGGAAUCUUUCACAAUGGGCGAAAGCCUGAUGGAGCAACGCCGCGUGCAGGAUGAAGGCCUUCGGGUUGUAAACUGCUUUUAUAAGCGAGAAAUAUGAUGGUAACUUAUGAAUAAGGAUCGGCUAACUACGUGCCAGCAGCCGCGGUCAUACGUAGGAUCCGAGCAUUAUCCGGAGUGACUGGGUGUAAAGAGUUGCGUAGGUGGCAUAAUAAGUAGCUAGUGAAAUCUGGUGGCUCAACCAUUCAGACUAUUAGCUAAACUGUUAAGCUCGAGACCGUUAGGGGUAACUGGAAUUCCUAGUGUAGGAGUGAAAUCCGUAGAUAUUAGAAGGAACACCAAUAGCGUAGGCAGGUUGCUGGGACGGUUCUGACACUAAGGCACGAAAGCGUAGGGAGCAAACGGGAUUAGAUACCCCUGUAGUC